UACGUAGGGGGCAAGCGUUGUCCGGAUUUAUUGGGCGUAAAGAGCGUGUAGGCGGCCAGGUAGGUCUGCUGUGAAAACCCAGGGCUUAACCCUGGGCUUGCAGUGGAUACGGGCAGACUAGAGGCAGGUAGGGGAGAAUGGAAUUCCCGGUGUAGCGGUGAAAUGCGCAGAUAUCGGGAGGAACACCGGUGGCGAAGGCGGGUCUCUGGGCCGAUACUGACGCUGAGAGCGAAAGCGUGGGGAGCGAACAGG
rnacentral:rRNA from 1 species